rnacentral:rRNA from 1 species
AGAGUUUGAUCCUGGCUCAGGAUGAACGCUAGCGGCAGGCCUAACACAUGCAAGUCGAGGGGCAGCACGGUGUAGCAAUACACUGGUGGCGACCGGCGUACGGGUGCGUAACGCGUAUGCAACCUACCCAUAACAGGGGGAUAACACUGAGAAAUUGGUACUAAUACCCCAUAACAUCAGGACCGGCAUCGGUUCUGGUUGAAAACUCCGGUGGUUAUGGAUGGGCAUGCGUUGUAUUAGCUGGUUGGUGAGGUAACGGCUCACCAAGGCAACGAUACAUAGGGGGACUGAGAGGUUAACCCCCCACAUUGGUACGGAGACACGGACCAAACUCCUACGGGAGGCAGCAGUGAGGAAUAUUGGUCAAUGGACGCAAGUCUGAACCAGCCAUGCCGCGUGCAGGAAGACGGCUCUAUGAGUUGUAAACUGCUUUUGUACGAGGGUAAACGCUCUUACGUGUAAGAGCCUGAAAGUAUCGUACGAAUAAGGAUCGGCUAACUCCGUGCCAGCCGCCGCGGUAAUUC